AGUGAACGCUGGCGGUAGGCCUAACACAUGCAAGUCGAACGGCAGCACAGUAAGAGCUUGCUCUUACGGGUGGCGAGUGGCGGACGGGUGAGGAAUACAUCGGAAUCUACUUUUUCGUGGGGGAUAACGUAGGGAAACUUACGCUAAUACCGCAUACGACCUACGGGUGAAAGCAGGGGAUCUUCGGACCUUGCGCGAUUGAAUGAGCCGAUGUCGGAUUAGCUAGUUGGCGGGGUAAAGGCCCACCAAGGCGACGAUCCGUAGCUGGUCUGAGAGGAUGAUCAGCCACACUGGAACUGAGACACGGUCCAGACGCCUACGGGAGGCAGCAGUGGGCAAUAUUAGACAAUGGGCGCAAGCCUGAUCCAGCCAUACCGCGUGAGUGAAGAAGGCUUUCGGGUUGUAAAGCCCUUUUGUUGGGAAAGAAAAGCAGCAGGUUAAGACCCCGCUGUUCUGACGGUACCCAAAGAAUAAGCACCGGCUAACUUCGUG
rnacentral:rRNA from 1 species